AUGCAUAAGUAUUUGAAAGCUUAUAUAUAUCCGAGAUUGGUCGGAUGUUUCUACUAACUACCGUAAUAGUUAACUAUAAGUUUUCAUAUCGUGAAC
rnacentral:ncRNA from 2 species